GGCGGCGCGGCCCCGGCGGGGCUGGGCAGGGCAGGGCUGGGCUGGGCCUCGCCGCGCCUCGCCGCCAGGGGCGCGGGCUCCCCUCGCCGCCGCCCCGCGCCCCGCUGACAGCCGCCCUGACAGCCGCGCCGCCAUUUAACCCUCCCCCCGCCGCCCGCCGGGCCGGCCCGGGCGCCGCCGCCGCCGCCGCCGCCGGAGGUGAGUGAGCGCCCGCCCGCCGGCCGCUGAGGGAAGGAUCACGCCGGUGCCGCGGGCAGCAGCGGCACGGAGCUUUCAGGUGUUCUGGGAAAAAAGUGCCUGCACUUCGGAGCUGAAGAAGGACAUGAGGAGUAAAAGGACCUGGGAUCUCACUGGUCAGAAUGAAACAGAUGUUGAAAGAUUUUUCAAAUCUGUUGUUAGUAGUGCUCUGUGACUAUGUUCUCGGUGAAGUGGAGUAUCUCCUGUUGGAGCGCGCAGGUCAUGUAGCCUUCAGCAAUGAUACAGUGUCUGUGGAAUACCAGUACUAUAAUGGUGGUAAUGUGUCAGCAGAGCAUCUGUCCAUCCUGUUGCUGGAUGCCAGCACCAACGAGAUAAUUGCAAGAAAACAGCUUCCAGCAAAUCAGUCCCAGGGGAUGGUAGAGUUUGAGUGUUUCCAUUUCAAGAGUGCUGGGGACUUCUUGUUCAGAAUGGUCUCUCCCAGCGAUAAUGGCAGUGCUGCCCAGUGGAGCAGAAGAAGCACGUCCAGCCUCCAUGUGGAAUGGCCUGUAUUUCACAUUGAUUUGAACAAGAGUUCAGAGGUGCUUGGGAACUCCCUUCAAGUUGGACUUUUUACAAAUGAGCAGUUGUGUGCCAUGAACAAGACAGUGGUUUCGCUGGAUGUGAUAUUCACCAGCACCCUUUAUGAAUUCAGAAGAGUAAGCUCUGAUGGGACUCUGGGCAUUAGAACUAGCAAAGGAAUCCCACUCUCUAGGUCCCAGUGGGUAGAGUUUGACUGCCCACCUGUUGGUCAAGAAACAUACAUCACUGUGUUACUGAAAUCGUUAGAAACACAUUCCAUCAUUGCUUCCAUAGGACCCAUAGAUCUCCUCCACAAAUUUGGAUACAGACUGGUUGUGGCAUCAGAAGCAACAUGCAAAACUUUGGUUCAGGUCUUCAUAGUCUCUCCACCGUGCACUUCUAUCAGCGGAAAAAUUGUCGUCUAUAAAGAGGACCUCAAACUUCCUAGUCAAAGAACAACUUGGCUGUAUGAAAACACCCUUCACCCAGGAGACAACAGGACAGAAUUUAACUGCACUUUGUUUGAUGUGGGGAAGAACAAAUACUGCUUUGACUUCUUUAAUUUCUCAAACCGAAGCCAUUUCCCAACAAGAGUUAAGGAGUGUAUGAUGAUCCAAAGGAAUAUGGAAACGUGGAGCCCGUGGCAGCCCUGGAGCCCCUGCAGUGUUACCUGCGGGGACGGCGUCCGUGAGCGCUUCCGAGAGUGCCUCACCUCCUCGCCGGCAAAACCAGGCUGUGCUGGAUCACCGAGGGAGACUUCCUUGUGUUCGCUGGAGGAGUGUUUGUCUAUCAAGCCUCCCACCCCACCUUCUGUCCAGCCAGGAGAGGACGAGAAAGCAAAUAAUAUAGUCACCAUCACAGGUAUCUCCUUAUGCUUGUUCAUCAUCUUUGCCACCGUUCUUAUCACCCUCUGGAGGAAGCUCUGCAGAGCUCAGAAGUGCAGCACCGCUGUCCGCCGAAACUCCGUCCAUUCCCCGGGCUUCCGCAAAAACUCCGACGAAGAGAACAUUUGCCAAGGAAACAAGCAGCGGGACAGCUUCGCUGAAGGAGGGGAUGCCCCUGUUAACAUUCCUCUGACCUACAGGCGAAGCCUCCAAUUUGCCCAAGAAGAUGAUGCCUCUGGAAGUGAGAACUUUCAGCCAAAUGCCCAAAAAAUAAUCCCUCCAAUCUUCAGCUACCGCCUGGCACAGCAGCAGCUGAAAGAGAUGAAGAAGAAAGGCCUGACUGAGACCACCAAGGUGUACCACGUCUCUCAGAAUCCCCUCACGGACACUGUUGUUGGUGCCACCACGAUGCUUCCCCUGAGUGGUGAAAACCAAGAGGAGGCAACAGCAAACAAAUUUAGGAUCAAAUCUCCAUUUCUGGACCAGCCAGUCAGUCAGCCCAAAUUCCUGGGAGAAGGCUCUCAUGCUAGGCUGGAUUUUCCAUUCUCACAGGCCAAUCCUGCAAUGAGCACUACCCAAACCUUGGUAAGAAGAGCUCAUUUCAAGCACCAGGAUAACAGAGGGGACUUGCCUGAGAGGGGCUCUCACAGAAAUCCGCAGUUUAGAAGAACAGCCAGUUUCCAUGAAACUAAAAAGGCCAGGCCUUUCAGAGAGAGAAGCAUGUCCACCCUCACCCCCCGACAGACUCCCCUCUACAACUCCAGGACCAGGACGUGGGACCAGGGUUUGGAGGACAGGACGCGGCCAAAAUCAAGAAGCGCUAAUCCCACUUGUGAAAAGCUGGAUCAGCCCCACAGCACUGUGCCGGGGUGUGAACCGCAGGGCCACGGCGCAAAGUGCCACCACAGGGCAGGUCCCCCGGUGAAGAAGCUGGACCUGAUCACCGACCGCCAGCCUGCUGGUCAGGAGAAGGCAGCUGAGAAGCAUGAGACCAGCCGAAGUAAGAGGGGCCCUUCACCAAACCCCAGAGGUGCGUGGCGGAAGGAAACAGGCUCGGCUGGCAAAGAUAAUUCCCAGAGAGGCCUGAGUGUAAGCCCUGCCCAGUACCGAAGGGACAAGUGCCAGAGCUUCCCCUUGGACCCUGAGUUUGCCUUUUACGAUAAUACUACUUUUGGCUUAACAGAGGCAGAGCAGCAGAUGAUCGACCUCCCUGGGUAUUUUGGCUCAAAUGAAGAGGAUGAAACAAGUACUUUAAGCAUUGAGAAGCUGGUGAUCUGAGUGACUCAUGGCAGCCCUGCAGGAGGGGCCUGCGCAGGAGAGGAUCUGCAGAAUCUCUUGGCUUCUGGUGGAAGGAGCAGCGGGAAUCGUGUUCCCUCCACACAGAGCAGAAGGGAAUAGUGCCCUAAGUCUGGCUUGUGGGAACACAUUCCUUUCUAAUUACCGGAAAGUGCUUCCGUAUCAUUAUUUUUUGUAUGUAUGUGUGUACAAUAAACACAAAAUACCUUGGGAAAGCACUUGUUAGUGAAGGCGUGAUGCAGGAAUAGCCAAUGGAUUUUAUUGCGUAAAUCGGUCACGUUUUGUGCAUCAUACAUGGUGAAUGCCACUGAUUUAGCCUUUCUAACCUUGUGGACUGUGUACUAGUAGAUUAUGAUGUCCUAAAGCAUCCAUUGUCCAAUAUCCUCAAGCAUCUGUCCUAAUUAGUGAAUCAUUUCCCAUUUAGAAAACACAAAUCUCAAGUUGUGAGCAGCUUUCUUCGUUUUGCUGGUAGUCGUUAUUGAACUGCGUUGAUUCGUCAUAGUUGCUCAAAUUAAGUCUUAUGCUGGUGUUUCUUUUAGCUGGUUGCAUGAAAGUGCAAACAACUGACGCUGAGUACUUGGAGUGAAUUUAAAAUUGCGGGGGCAUUUUUCAUCCUUCAAGACUUUGAUAUUUUCUUUCUGCUGAUAUUUAUACCAACACAACAGUAAUGUACAAAUAUUUGCAGGAAACGAGUAGAAAAGGGCAUGCUGCUGGGAGGGCAAAGAAAAUGGAUGAUCAGAUUUUAUUCCUCACAGAAAUGUUACUGCAGCAUUUAACCACCUGGAAAAGGCAGUGAGAGAACUGUUGAAUCACCCAUCCUUUCCAUAAUAAGCUUUGCCUUUAUUAAACGUUUUUUUUUUUUAAAUGUAAAUAAAUUGACAAUAAUUCUACUACAGCAAGCUCAAAAUAAAUUAUGAACAAAACCAACAAGCAACAAAUUUAUUUGAUGAAUACCUGUUUUGCGAACAAAAAGAAAAAAAUAAAAUGGCUUGACAACAUCUGGUGAUUCCCAGAGAAUCUUAAUGGUGAAGUACAAAAGUUAACCUUUUUUUGUUGUGUCGGGCUUUAAAACCAGAGAUCACAAAUUGGCAAUUACACACUGCUGCAAGUGUUCAGAGCUGGGUUGAAACCCCAGUUAACAACAAGAGACAGAGCUCGAGCCAGCGAGAAUGAGUCAGAGACUUUGCUUGGCAUUUGUUAGGAUAACCGUCUCUUCGGGGAACUUGCGAAGACCAGGGGAAUGCUCUUGGGCAAGAAAAGAGGAGCUGCUGCCUGCAGAGGCUGGAGUGAGAGAAGGUAGGUUCGGGCAGAGGACUGUCAGUCUUCAAACAGCUCUUCCAUAAGGAUCCCAGCCCCACGUGCCCUUUAACCCGCCUUGUGGGUGUGAAGGAAAAACGAGCCUGUGCUCAGUUCUUUGCCAGUAGGAUGCUAUUGUUCUCAAAACUGGCUUUCUGAGCAGGAAAAUAGAUUUCCCAAUCCCACGCUUUUUUUUUUUUCUCCAAACCAACAAUAAUUGUAAAGGGAGAGCAGCAUCGCGGUGCGUUAGCCAGUUACCGAUGGCGCCCCACUGAAGUGUCCAAAGCGUGCGCAGGUAACUUGACAGGCGCACAGCGGAAGGGCUUGCUAUGGCAGCCUCGGAGGAGCCAGAUGCUCGGCGUUUGCCCACCAGAGCCAAACCCCGCCAUUUGCCCGGCCUUUUUGAUGGGUGACGUUUUGCAGCUGCCGCCGGAGCACCGGCCCCGAUGCGCCGGGUGACGUGAGCUCCCUCUUUCCCGGGAGCUGCACCAGCACGCCGCGUUGUCGGUGUUCAGCCCUUCGGCCCAGUGCAGCGCAGCGUUCGUUCGCACCAGCUGUGCAUAAACUGUCAGCUUGAAAUGCUGCUGAAAGCUUUUGAGAACAUGUCCACACUUGAGAACCAAUGCAAGGCUAAUCAAAUGUAACGAGUCUUUAAAUUGACUUAAAUGAGCUGGAAAUCACACCUUUGAAGCAGUUGUUGCUCGGGUUACUUACGGGCUUGUGCGAGGGUAAACGCUGUGUGGAGCGCGUUCGCCCUGAAGCAGUGAUCUGUCAGCGUUAGACCUGCAGUGCUACAAUAUCUGCUUGCGGUUUUGAUGGGUUGUUGGCUGCUCAAUGAACUGUCAAAUCAAUAAUGCUGGCCCUUCGGUGCGGUAGUUGAUUUCCAGCAUGCAGAGUUGAGUAUCACUGGUCUCAUCUUUACCCUGCUUCCCUAGCCCUCUCCUGAACAGUGGCGUUGAGUAUCAUCUGCCUUGACAAAAAUGGUCCUUCCUGCCCUCAGCACUGCAUCAGCAGCCACGUGGUUCUAACACGUGCACAGUGAGCCCUUAUGUUCACGACACGCAGUUACAACCUUGCACUAAGAUUUUACCAUAGUAAAAUCCAGAAGUAGCGCUCAGAAAGGAAAUAGUACACGCUGGCUGUUUGCAGCCCUUUCUCCCCAAGGGCAACCUCAUUUCGAGAUGUAGGUGCAAGUUUCAUUCCACGCGGGUACGGGCCAACACUUGGGACGAGGGCAGAGCCUCGCCAGGGCACAGGCUUCAGGAGCACGGCUCCCUGGACUGCUGGCCCGUUGCACUCCGGAGUUUACGUUUGCGAUCGCUGGGAUGUCUGGAAAGAAGUGAGAAGAGGAUUCGCUGGGAUGUUUGGGAAGAAGUGAGAACAAGGUUCACCUGUUGACAAAGCAGAGGAACCAAAGCAAAUUUUACACUGAAUGUUCACAUGUCUCUGCAUUGUCUCCAGGACAGCUUGAGCCAUGGAAAUGAAACUGACCUUGCAGACCCUCUACACUACCCAGGACAGCAGGCGCAAAAGCACAAGGGCCAACACCAAAAGAACGAAAUUCUCAUAUUAUGAGCUUUCUCAAGAUUUUCACUUGUAUUUCUGUUCACGUUCCUACUGUUGAAAACCAGAUACAAGAUUUAAAGUCCUACUCAGAUGGUUUUAUUACACGCUUUAUGGAUAUAUAAAACAGAUUACAAUAUGUAUGAAUCUAAAAGCAAAUAUGUGGAAAAGAACUGCCAGUUUAAAAAAGUUAUUGUCAUUCAGAAAAAAAAAUAGGCUCAUUCUACAACAUGGUAGUUAAAUGAUUUGCAUCAAGCUGAUAUUACUGUUCAUUUUUAACUGUUGUUAUUAACAACGUGUGGAAAAUAAAUUCUCACUAUUCCACUU